CCAGACUCCUACGGGAGGCAGCAGUGGGGAAUAUUGCACAAUGGGGGAAACCCUGAUGCAGCAACGCCGCGUGAGUGAAGAAGUAUUUCGGUAUGUAAAGCUCUAUCAGCAGGGAAGAAAAUGACGGUACCUGAGUAAGAAGCCCCGGCUAACUACGUGCCAGCAGCCGCGGUAAUACGUAGGGGGCAAGCGUUAUCCGGAUUUACUGGGUGUAAAGGGAGCGUAGACGGCGAUACAAGUCUGAAGUGAAAGCCCGCGGCCCAACCGCGGGACUGCAUUGGGAACUACCGGGCUGGAGUGCCGGAGAGGUAGGCGGAAUUCCUAGUGUAGCGGUGAAAUGCGUAGAUAUUAGGAGGAACACCAGUGGCGAAGGCGGCCUACUGGACGGUGACUGACGCUGAGGCUCGAAAGCGUGGGGAGCAAACAGGAUUAGAUACCCGUGUAGAC
rnacentral:rRNA from 1 species